rnacentral:rRNA from 1 species
UACGUAGGGACCAAGCGUUGUUCGGAUUUACUGGGCGUAAAGGGCGCGUAGGCGGCCUAGCAAGUCACUUGUGAAAUCUCCGGGCUUAACUCGGAACUGCCAAGUGAAACUGCUGGGCUAGAGUGCAGAAGGGGCAAUCGGAAUUCUUGGUGUAGCGGUGAAAUGCGUAGAUAUCAAGAGGAACACCUGAGGUGAAGACGGGUUGCCGGGCUGACACUGACGCUGAGGCGCGAAAGCCAGGGGAGCAAACGGG